UGGGAUGUAGCUCAGUUGGUAGAGCAGAUAGCUGUUAACUAUCCGGUCGUAGGUUCGAGCCCUACCAUCCCAGCCA
rnacentral:tRNA from 2 species